rnacentral:rRNA from 1 species
UACAGAGGGUGCGAGCGUUAAUCGGAAUUACUGGGCGUAAAGCGCACGUAGUCGGCUUUGCAAGUCGGGUGUGAAAUCCCCGGGCUCAACCUGGGAACUGCAUCCGAGACCGCAUUGCUAGAGUAUGGGAGAGGGAAGCGGAAUUUCUGGUGUAGCAGUGAAAUGCGUAGAUAUCAGAAGGAACAUCAGUGGCGAAGGCGGCUUCCUGGACCAAUACUGACGAUCAGGUGCGAAAGCGUGGGGAGCAAACAGG